CCGUAAGCCUGGCGCUCCAGUUUUCAUUCAGCCCGUCUUGUGUGGUGGGUAGGGAACCUAUGUUUGUGGCCAGUAACAGCUUCAGGCUGGCACAUAAGACAUCAGGUUCCCGGACCUUGAGGAGUGGGUCUUGAGAUUGUUGCUUUUGCUGCCCCGUAUCCAAACCCCCUUCCUAUUGGGGGACAACCCCAAAUUAGGUGCAGCAGAGGGGUCAACCACAUGCUGCGAAGACUUCUGGGCAGCCAGGACACGAGCAUGUGCCAGGACUUACCUGAGCAGAGCCACAGACACAAAGACACAGGGAGAGGUAGGCUUUCUCAGGUGGCCUCCGCAGUCGAGGUAGGCCUGAACCAACACGUCGUCUGGCAGCCCAUGGCCGCAUUCUGGCCACAGGGGGCUGGGACCGCGGUCUGGUUGUGCUCUUGCUAGGUAGCCUCCUUGUGUUCCUGCUGCCUCUCAGAGCCUGCUUCUCAUUAAGGCUCUCCUCGGGUCUCCACCACUCCCUGCUGUUUGCCAUUAACAAGUCUGACUCCCUGAUCUCCAUCAAGGGCAGGUGUGUACUGAGCUCUGGAAAGCCAGAGAUAGGAGCCUAAGUAAGUACAGAGCUGGCUGGGAGGGCGCCGUUGGGUAAGGCAGCACGGGAGGACACCUGGAGUGGCCUUGUCAGGUCUCCCGAUGGCUUAGAAGGGUCUCCAUGGGGAGCCAUGCUACCUGAUAGACAGUCCACACUCCAUAAGUCUGCCUCUUUUCUCUGAUCCCUUCUCCCCUCUGUCUACAAACCCUUCCUGAUGCCCGGGUCAUGCAAUUAAAUACUAUUUUUAAAACCAAGUUUUAUCUACGCUCCCUGUGGGUUAUCUCAGCUCCUACAGAGGCUCAGGAAACUGUGACGGCACGAUCGUCACACUGACUUGACAGGAGGCAGCCUGGGAAGUCAUGAUGGAAGAGGCUGCUCUCUUCCUGGCCUGGCCCCUCUUGGGGGUUCAGUGCUCGUCUCUGAAGUCACUGAGGUUUUUGUUGCAGUUUCCCUACGGUAUAGAGCGUGCCCUACAUCGCAGGGCUGGGCUAAGACGGAUUUCUGGCUUUCUUUUCUCAAAAAAUCAUGCUCAUUCAGGCACUGGCGAAUAUAGGUUCUGGUACUGAAGAUGAGCUGUCUGUUAAACUCUGAAUAGGGCUAUUCUCUCUGCAAUUAGAGACUUUUGGCUCAAACAAGAUCUUUUCUGGGAAGCCAUAAGCCUGUAUUCUGAUAUUUCAACAUUUCACCCCUCAUCCUCCCCACCAGCCCUCACUAGGGUUCAUAUCGUCCUAGAAAUGGAACACCACCACAAAGCAGUCACCCACAUGGAUUCUCCCACUUUGCAGGCUUAAGAUAAUGAAGUCAAACACACAUACACAGGCUCCAAAUACCUUUGGUAGAGCUUUACACCCAUAUGUGUGAAGGGCCAUUUCCAAACGGAAUAAUAACUGGAAGGCACGACUAAACCACUGGAAUAAAAUCCCCCUUUGGAUUAGGUAUCAGCAAAGUAAAUUAGUAACAUCUGAGCGCCUGUUAAGACUAGAGAUUCGCCGUUUGCUGGGACUGGCGUUUAUUUCAUUAUUGAAAAGGAAGGGAAAAAACAGAAGGAAUCAAGUCAGCUGUACUGAGUGUCGAUGACACACGUGCCUCCCAUUUUUGAAGCUCUUCUCCCUGGCGCCUCAGUGUACUGUCUGAGCUGCCCCUGGGCUACAACCGUGAUUAAGAGGAGAGGUCUCUCUUUUGAAGGGGUUGGUGGUCUCUUGAGCUGAGGAAGUGGAACACGGGUUGACGAGCCUGGCUGAUGGAAAACUGGAGGGCAUGCUGUGGGCUUCUCCCCUGCCACCUUCCCCGCUCUUGACGUCUUCUGGAAAUUGCCACCUUUAGGAGUCUGAGGAGCCAGGCAUCCUUGAGGGCAGGCUUCCUGUGUGGCUGAGGUCUGACCACACCACAAACCCACUGCUGCUCAUCAGUGUGGGCCAAGGAUGGAAGAGAAGCCAUGGUGCAGAGAGGGGUGUGGGUCAGGGGCUGAGGAUGCCUCCGGCCUUUCCUAAAAAGGAGGGAGCUGGACUUGCUUUUCCCUGAGACAUCUUCUGGUCGCGCCUCAGUCUACCCUGCGUUUGUCAUUUAGAUGGGGAGCUCCCCCACCAUCUCAUUCGGCAUGGGGUUUACAGGUCUACAGGCCACGGUUUUAUGAGCUGCCUUGUGAAUAUUAAAAGUCGCAUUUCUUUUUCUGUUUCUUUGGAUUGCUUGAAUUUUUUAAGGUUGAGCAGUUUUUUAAAUACCAAAGUGUAAAGUCCUAAGUCGUCUUAGAGGCUGUCAUUCUCCUGUGAUUUCAGCUCCCUAGCCUCCUUCGUGACUUUGAUCACCAAGUCCCCCGUUACGUUGGAAGAUUAAAGGCAUGUGGACGCCUGGGGGAGGGCAGCCUGGAGGUGACAUUCAAAAGCUCGAUUAGUCUUCUGCGGAUCAGUGUGACCUCUGCACCUGUCAACGGCCUACAUAUUCGAUUUUGAGACUCUCCCUGUGAUGAGCUCUCUGGAAACAGGGCCCUGCUUUUUUCUCCUCUGCAUACACAUGAAUGGCCGGGUGUAGGGCCUGGUGCAACGUUUCCCCUUUGGCCACCUGCUCACUGAGGAGGUGUGUGUGAUGAGGACUCUUCAGAUCUACUCCCAGCAAAUCUCAAGUGUACAAGACAUGUUAUACACUAUGGUCCCUAUGCAGCUUUGUUUGUGAAGGUGAUCCAGUUUCGUGCUAAACGGAGUGAUGUACUGGGCCAGAAGAGGAAAGACAAUCUGGACCAGAUGGCCAAAGAUUUGAUGACCUUAUAUGACUCCCGUCCUCACGGAGUUUACAUUUUGACAGGAUCAGAGACAUUAAGUAGCUUAAUAAAUGCUCAAUAAAGAUUUGUGAAAUAAACUACAA
rnacentral:lncRNA from 1 species